rnacentral:rRNA from 1 species
UUAAAUUGAAGAGUUUGAUCAUGGCUCAGAUUGAACGCUGGCGGCAGGCCUAACACAUGCAAGUCGAACGGUAACAGGAAGCAGCUUGCUGCUUCGCUGACGAGUGGCGGACGGGUGAGUAAUGUCUGGGAAACUGCCUGAUGGAGGGGGAUAACUACUGGAAACGGUGGCUAAUACCGCAUAACGUCGCAAGACCAAAGAGGGGGACCUUCGGGCCUCUUGCCAUCAGAUGUGCCCAGAUGGGAUUAGCUAGUUGGUGAGGUAACGGCUCACCAAGGCGACGAUCCCUAGCUGGUCUGAGAGGAUGACCAGCCACACUGGAACUGAGACACGGUCCAGACUCCUACGGGAGGCAGCAGUGGGGAAUAUUGCACAAUGGGCGCAAGCCUGAUGCAGCCAUGCCGCGUGUAUGAAGAAGGCCUUCGGGUUGUAAAGUACUUUCAGCGGGGAGGAAGGUGUUGUGGUUAAUAACCACAGCAAUUGACGUUACCCGCAGAAGAAGCACCGGCUAACUCCGUGCCAGCAGCCGCGGUAAUACGGAGGGUGCAAGCGUUAAUCGGAAUUACUGGGCGUAAAGCGCACGCAGGCGGUCUGUCAAGUCGGAUGUGAAAUCCCCGGGCUCAACCUGGGAACUGCAUUCGAAACUGGCAGGCUUGAGUCUUGUAGAGGGGGGUAGAAUUCCAGGUGUAGCGGUGAAAUGCGUAGAGAUCUGGAGGAAUACCGGUGGCGAAGGCGGCCCCCUGGACAAAGACUGACGCUCAGGUGCGAAAGCGUGGGGAGCAAACAGGAUUAGAUACCCUGGUAGUCCACGCCGUAAACGAUGUCUACUUGGAGGUUGUGCCCUUGAGGCGUGGCUUCCGGAGCUAACGCGUUAAGUAGACCGCCUGGGGAGUACGGCCGCAAGGUUAAAACUCAAAUGAAUUGACGGGGGCCCGCACAAGCGGUGGAGCAUGUGGUUUAAUUCGAUGCAACGCGAAGAACCUUACCUGGUCUUGACAUCCACAGAACUUUCCAGAGAUGGAUUGGUGCCUUCGGGAACUGUGAGACAGGUGCUGCAUGGCUGUCGUCAGCUCGUGUUGUGAAAUGUUGGGUUAAGUCCCGCAACGAGCGCAACCCUUAUCCUUUGUUGCCAGCGAUUAGGUCGGGAACUCAAAGGAGACUGCCAGUGAUAAACUGGAGGAAGGUGGGGAUGACGUCAAGUCAUCAUGGCCCUUACGACCAGGGCUACACACGUGCUACAAUGGCGCAUACAAAGAGAAGCGACCUCGCGAGAGCAAGCGGACCUCAUAAAGUGCGUCGUAGUCCGGAUUGGAGUCUGCAACUCGACUCCAUGAAGUCGGAAUCGCUAGUAAUCGUGGAUCAGAAUGCCACGGUGAAUACGUUCCCGGGCCUUGUACACACCGCCCGUCACACCAUGGGAGUGGGUUGCAAAAGAAGUAGGUAGCUUAACCUUCGGGAGGGCGCUUACCACUUUGUGAUUCAUGACUGGGGUGAAGUCGUAACAAGGUAACCGUAGGGGAACCUGCGGUUGGAUCACCUCCUUACCU